rnacentral:rRNA from 1 species
CCUACGGGAGGCAGCAGUGGGGAAUAUUGGACAAUGGGCGAAAGCCUGAUCCAGCAAUGCCGCGUGAGUGAUGAAGGCCUUAGGGUUGUAAAGCUCUUUUACCAGGCAUGAUAAUGACAGUACCUGGAGAAUAAGCUCCGGCUAACUCCGUGCCAGCAGCCGCGGUAAU